AUUGAACGCUGGCGGCAGGCCUAACACAUGCAAGUCGAGCGAGCGGCGGACGGGUGAGUAAUGUCUGGGAAACUGCCUGAUGGAGGGGGAUUACUACUGGAAACGGUAGCUAAUACCGCAUACCAUCAGAUGUGCCCAAAUGGGACUCGCUAGUAGGUGGGGGAAUGGCUCACCUAGGCGACGAACCCUAGCGGGUCUGAGAGGAUGACCAGCCACACUGGAACUGAGACACGUUCCAGACUCCUACGGGAGGCAGCAGUGGGGAAGAUUGCACAAUGGGCGAAAGCCUGAUGGAGCCAUGCCGCGUGUGUGAAGAAGGCCUUCGGGGUGUAAAGCACUUUCAGCGGGGAGGCGUUACCCGCAGAAGAAGCACCGGCUAACUCCGUGCCAGCCGCCGCGGUAAUUC
rnacentral:rRNA from 1 species